CAGAGCUACAGGAGCUUCUUAAUGCUGGCCAAAAACAGAUAAAUAAUCAGAUAAACAAUGAGGAGAUAGUAUCAAAUGGUUCUGUUGAGGCUUAGGGUUGAAAUGGGAGAAGACGAGACCUGAACCGCGCAUUUCUAAACUAUUUGUUAAACCAUCAACAUCACACAGACACACUUUGGAUUAUAUUAUGUAUUUUUGUUGAUGAACAUCGUAUGUACAUGUUGUAUAUCGUUAAAACUGUACAACGUAUUGCACAAAAGAAUCAAUGAACUAUAUGGAAAGAAUAUUUUACGGCUAAGAAACUGUAACUUUUACAACUGAUUGUGAUCUAUAUAUUUUGUCAAUAUCAAGCUAUAGUAGAUAUUUUAAAACAUUUUUACAUUCGCUGUCAAUAUCUAAAUAAUCCUAAUUUGUACAAGUGGAUUUUUCAUCUUCUGUUUUAUUAUAAAAAUAAUUGUUAUUUUGCCAUAUCAUUUUGGUAUCAGUUUUAUUUUUUUUUUUGAGAUUUCAGUUUUUGUCUCAUAUUUUUAUUUGUUAAUUGCAAUACAAUGGAGACAUAUUUAUGUUUUUGUAACCCUCCAUUGUUUUCCUGCCAUCUCUCUGUUCAUAAUUUCCCGCAUUUCUGUUCCUUUUUUCCCGCAUUUCUGUUCCUUUUUUCCCGCAUUUUCUGUUCCUUUUUUCCUGCAUUUUCCCGAUCUUUUUUUCUCCAUUCUCGGUCGAAAGUGUCCCUCUAAUAGAACACAGUUCCUAUUUGUUACCUAAUUAAAAUCUGGAACCAGUGUUAUUGUUUUAAUUGUUCAAUAUAAUAAUUAUGUGUGAUUAAAUAAAUUUAGUUUGGGGUGUAAAAAUCAUUCUUUUUAUUUAUAUGCAAUGUAUAGCAAUCAUCCCAUGUUUUCAGAGAAAAUGGUUGAAUAGUUGGAAUUUGGAGCUAAUUAGUCGAUAGUAUGGUUUUGCUCUGCUGUGUGAAUUUUGUUCCAUAAAUUUAUUGGAACCUAGGAUUGUAUAUUCUUGUUGGUUUCAUGUUCUGUAGAUUGUCAAAGAAUAUUAACCAGCGCGUACUCUGUUGAAAAAAUUACUUUACUUUAAAUACGACAUAAUUUAUUUUAAGAUAAAAUUAUUGAAUUUGAAAAUUAUUUUGUCUCAAUAGUUAGCCUCGAGGUAUUUAAUUUGAAUGUCCAUGUCGUGUCAACCUAAUUUUGUCCAAUAUAGUUUAAAGUAUUGAUCUCUUCUACCUGCCCCCCCCACUACAUAGCUCUGCCUAGAGAGUAUGGAUCAGCUGGUUUAAAGAACUAGCUCUUAAUGGUCUGUCUCCACUAUACACGUAGAUUAAUAUUAGAUUAUUUGAAAUAGAUACACUUCUCGUUGUUUUAUGAAAUAUCUUGUUUGGAAAUAGAAAAGACGCGUUUUGUGAUAAUCUUUAUAGUGAACUUACAGUAAAUGUUACUAAAACGGUAAAUAUUAGCCGGUUAUAGCAUAUUCACAAUCAAAACGUAAAAUAAUAAACAAAUAUGCGAUACACAAACAUUUGUAAACUAAGCGUUUUUCAUCUCGACUUUUAAUACUUUAUCUGUGAUCAUGUUCCUUUUGUACUAUUUAAAACAAGAACAAAAAAGUUCUGAUAUAAUAAUAUUUUUUUUGUUGAAUUUUUCAAUCAUUUAAAACUUUUCCAACACAUUUUUUUGUAAUUUUAUAAACUAUAAUCUAUAAACCCUUCCUGGGGCCCGAUUGGGUUUAUUGGAAACAAGAGGACAGACAAAAAGUUAAUAGACAAGCAAAGUACGUAUAUAUAGACAACUUUAAAAAUCUGAUAAUAAUUUCAGAAACUCGAGAUAAGUGUACACUGUACAGUGUACAUAGAUACAAGUGUGUAUACACCGUACAGAGGAAAUAUGAGUACUGUGCCUAUAGUUCCUGAGGAUGUACAGGGUGAUGACAAGUGGAUGUCUAUGCAUCGUCGAUUCCUGCAGGAUGCUCGGGACGCGGAGCCGGAGGUUUUAUGGAUAGGGGACUCCUUGAUACAGAAUCUGUGUUUGAGCAAAAUUUGGGAAAAAAGCUUCUGUGCUAUGCAUUCCCUCAACUUUGGUAUUGGAGGAGAUAGAACAGAACAUGUUCUAUGGAGAUUAGAGAACGGAGAACUAGAGAAUAUAUCGCCGAAGAUUGUUGUUGUACUGGUAGGAACUAAUAAUCACGGAGAUACUCCUGAACAGAUUGCAGAGGGGCUCAAGGUGAUUUGUACUGUUAUUCGAGACCGUCAACCACAAUCCUUCGUUCUUCUUCUGAGUUUGUUACCCCGAGGACACCAACCCAACUCCUUAAGGGAUAGGAAUAAGGCUGUGAAUGGUAUAAUGGAAGAGUAUGUGAAGGGAAACAGUAAACUACAGUUUGUAAAUAUAGAUACAGGCUUUAUACAGGCUGACAAAUCCAUAUCACACCACGACAUGUACGAUUACCUCCACCUUACGCAGAAAGGAUAUUCUAUGGCAUUUGAACCCGUGAACGAGCUACUGAUCCAACUACUGCAGGAGAUGGAGGGAGAAGUUGAACGGCCUGAAACCGAGGGGUGUGCAGAUUAAAUGACAUGAUAAAUAGUGAAUACUGACGACCUACAAGAUGUAACAAAAUCCCCGAAACGCUAGCUUUAUGUACAGUGUACACGCAGAGCCCUUUUUCAAACUUGCAUUUUUUAUUUUUGUAUUUUUUAGUUAUUAUCAUUAUUGUAAUUUUAAUCUCAAUUCUUGCAUAGUAUUAUUUAAAGUUCUAUUUUUUGUCCAGAAAAAUAUGAUAUUAGUUACCUUUUCAUUUCUGACCAAAAAAAAACCCUUUUCAAAGAAUUAAUACAAUUAUUUAUAAUAUUAAAAACACUCCAAUUUAUGUAAUUAAUACUAGUGUACAAUAAAUCCAUUUCUUGACCCAAAAAUUCUUCAUUUCUUAUUUUCUAACAAAAUGUAAAUUACAAGAUUUUGCAUUAAUUUUGCAUAGCAUUUGCGUUUGGCAAAUUUUCUUACGAUUUUUUUGUUUUAAUAGAGCUUCAUUACCCCAAUAGUGAAAUAAUGAAUCUGAAUUUUUGUGUGUUUUGGUAUCAAUCUCAUAAAGUAAAUAUGGAGGAUUUGUACACAGUAUCCUUUAGAAGAGAUUGGACACUGUACACUGUACAGUGUACAGUGUACACACUUGUAUUUACAUUAUGUACAACACUUAAAGAACUAGUAAAUUAGUACAAAAACUACAUCUCAUCUCACUAUUGCAAUGCUUUAAUCUAUGUUUACAUUGAUGUGUUGCUUUAAGCUAAACUCCACCGCAAUACUACAUAUUUUGUGGUGCCAGUUUCAUACGAGUCCAAAAACCUUAAAACUCUAUAGGGAAAGGAACCAAGUCAUUUUCCAUCACUAGGUGUAGCCUAUAAUUGCAUUUUUAGUGAAAUAUUGAACUUCACUCCUUUGCCUCAAAUGAUUCAUGAAUGUCAGUUUUCUUUGAUGGAUACAUUUUCUUUUUCGUGAAAUAGAAUACAAAAUUAUUGGAUCUCAACAACUCAGACGAGUGAGAAAAUAACCACAAUUGUUUUAUUUUCACAAGUCUCACGUUGAUCAUCAAUUUAAGAUAAAAUCGACCAUGGCAGCGCAAUUAAUGUUAAAAUAUGUAAUUGUAAACUUGUAAAAAAAACUGUACCGUACAACCCUUAGUAUGUAUGUAUGUACACAAAACUGUACCGUACUACCCUUAUUAUGUAUUUAUGUACACAAAACUGUACCGUACAACCCUAAUGUAUUUAUGUACACUGCUGUAGUGUUACAAUAAAGCUUCUUCNAA
rnacentral:misc_RNA from 1 species